rnacentral:rRNA from 1 species
GAUGAACGCUGGCGGCGUGCCUAAUACAUGCCAGUCGAGCGAACAGACGAGGAGCUUGCUCCUCUGACGUUAGCGGCGGACGGGUGAGUAACACGUGGAUAACCUACCUAUAAGACUGGGAUAACUUCGGGAAACCGGAGCUAAUACCGGAUAAUAUAUUGAACCGCAUGGUUCAAUAGUGAAAGACGGUUUUGCUGUCACUUAUAGAUGGAUCCGCGCCGCAUUAGCUAGUUGGUAAGGUAACGGCUUACCAAGGCAACGAUGCGUAGCCGACCUGAGAGGGUGAUCGGCCACACUGGAACUGAGACACGGUCCAGACUCCUAUGGGAGGCAGCAGUAGGGAAUCUUCCGCAAUGGGCGAAAGCCUGACGGAGCAACGCCGCGUGAGUGAUGAAGGUCUUCGGAUCGUAAAACUCUGUUAUUAGGGAAGAACAAAUGUGUAAGUAACUAUGCACGUCUUGACGGUACCUAAUCAGAAAGCCACGGCUAACUACGUG